UUAAAUGUCAUCCUUACAUAUAUUCUUUCUUUUUAUUGAUUCCUAAUGCUUGUACAUCUAUGUAGAUGCUGCCAGCCUAUUGGAAUCCUGUCAUCUUUAUAUAUAAUCACUCUAUGCGAUACCUUAUGCACAUUCUAUUUAUCCUCUUCUCCUCUUGUUAAUUUCUAUUUCCAUUCCCACCUUGAUUUCCCAUAUUCAGCAAUAUUGAGUAAGUAUUGAUUUUACAAAUUUCAAAUUUCCUUAUCUAUUUCCUCCUGUAUAUAGCUCAAGACACAAGGUCAUGGGAAUGCUUUCCUAUUCACUUUACUGAGCUAACGUAACCAAAUAACAUCAUUACCCCAAUCACAAUUUACAUUUUUUAUUGUCCUAGCCCACAAAAUAAACUAACAUACCAUCGAUAACUUUUAUAAUGUGUGCAUCAAUGGGGCAAAAUGUGCUAUUUUAGGAUCCAAAGGAGUAAACUGAAUAUCAUCCAACCCAAAUAACUUUACAAAGUUACAAUAUACC
rnacentral:lncRNA from 1 species